UCCUUGGGCCCAAGAGACAGGAACUGGAAAAAGUGAGAGCUUUCAACAUGCUGGCUGAAGGCUGAUACCAACAUGGAAUUUCAUAGUGGUUUUGUGGACUCCAGCAGUGACACCCCACUCAGCAAAUGGUACCAACAGGAGACUGAAAUGAAUGCUACACGCCAAGUUGCACCAAUAAAAGCACCAGUAAGAGAUGA